UGGGGAAUUUUGGACAAUGGGGGAAACCCUGACCCAGCAACGCCGCGUGAAGGAUGAAGUAUUUCGGUAUGUAAACUUCGAAAGAAUAGGAAGAAUAAAUGACGGUACUAUUUAUAAGGUCCGGCUAACUACGUGCCAGCAGCCGCGGUAAUACGUAGGGACCAAGCGUUGUUCGGAAUCACUGGGCGUAAAGCGCACGUAGGUGGGCAGUUAAGUCAGGGGUGAAAGCCCGAGGCUCAACCUGGGAAUUGCAUUCGAGACUGCAUUGCUGGAGUACGGAAGAGGAGGGCGGAAUUCCCGGUGUAGCGGUGAAAUGCGUAGAUAUCGGGAGGAACAUCAGUGGCGAAGGCGGCCCUCUGGUCCAGUACUGACACUCAAGUGCGAAAGCGUGGGGAGCAAACAGGAUUAGAUACCCCCGUAGUCCCUGAGCGGGCUGGCAAGGCGCAU
rnacentral:rRNA from 1 species